rnacentral:rRNA from 1 species
AACGCGAAGAACCUUACCAUCCCUUGACAUCCAGUGAACUUUCUAGAGAUAGAUUGGUGCCUUCGGGAACACUGAGACAGGUGCUGCAUGGCUGUCGUCAGCUCGUGUUGUGAAAUGUUGGGUUAAGUCCCGCAACGAGCGCAACCCUUAUCCUUAGUUGCCAGCGAUUCGGUCGGGAACUCUGGGGAGACUGCCGGUGAUAAACCGGAGGAAGGUGGGGACGACGUCAAGUCAUCAUGGCCCUUACGGGAUGGGCUACACACGUGCUACAAUGGCGCGUACAAAGGGCAGCGAACCUGCGAGGGUAAGCGAAUCUCAUAAAGCGCGUCGUAGUCCGGAUUGGAGUCUGCAACUCGACUCCAUGAAGUCGGAAUUGCUAGUAAUCGUGGAUCAGAAUGCCGCGGUGAAUACGUUCCCGGGUCUUGUACACACCG